GCCCGGGUGGUCUAGUGGUAUGUUCUUGUUACGCCGCCUUAAUCAAUCUAAUUUCCCCACUAACAAAUCAACCAGGUAUGAUUCUCGCUUAGGGAUAAACCCAAGCAUAUCUGCGAGAGGUCCCGCGUUCGAUCCGCGGCUCGGGCC